CACGUAGGCACCAAGCGUUGUCCGGAUUUAUUGGGCGUAAAGAGCUCGUAGGCGGUUCAGUAAGUCGGGUGUGAAAACUCUGGGCUUAACCCAGAGACGCCACCCGAUACUGCUGUGACUUGAGUACGGUAGGGGAGCAGGGAAUUCCUGGUGUAGCGGUGAAAUGCGCAGAUAUCAGGAAGAACACCCGUGGCGAAGGCGGCUCUCUGGUACGUGACUGACGCUGAGGCACGAAGGCCAGGGGAGCAAACGGG
rnacentral:rRNA from 1 species